rnacentral:rRNA from 1 species
CAGUCGCCGCGGUAAUACGUAAGGUGCGAGCGUUAAUCGGAAUUACUGGGCGUAAAGCGUGCGCAGGCGGUUGUGUAAGACAGGUGUGAAAUCCCCGGGCUUAACCUGGGAACUGCGCUUGUGACUGCACAGCUAGAGUAUGGCAGAGGGGGGUGGAAUUCCACGUGUAGCAGUGAAAUGCGUAGAGAUGUGGAGGAACACCGAUGGCGAAGGCAGCCCCCUGGGCCAAUACUGACGCUCAGGCACGAAAGCGUGGGGAGCAAACAGGAUUAGAUACCGCGUAGUCCCUGUCUCUUAUACA